GCCGGACAGUAUACACAGGGACAGCUGUUAAGGGUUGAGGGGACGACGGAAAAAUGAAGACAAUACUCUCAUCUGAGACUAUGGACAUACCCGAUGGGGUUAAGAUCAAGAUCAAUGCCAAGGUCAUAGAAGUGGAGGGUCCUCGAGGUAAGCUCACCCGCAACUUCAAGCAUUUGAACCUCGAUUUCCAUCUCAUCAAGGACGAGGCUACCGGAAAACGCAAGCUCAAGAUAGAAGCUUGGUUUGGUUCCAGGAAGACCAGCGCCGCCAUUCGCACUGCCCUCAGUCAUGUUGAGAAUCUCAUCACCGGUGUCACCAAGGGCUAUCGCUACAAGAUGCGAUUUGUCUAUGCUCACUUCCCCAUCAACGCCUCCAUUACUAACUCAAACAGUGCCAUUGAGAUUCGCAACUUCCUUGGCGAGAAAAGGGUCAGGAAAGUUGAUAUGCUUGAAGGUGUAACUGUUGUUCGUUCUGAUAAGGUUAAGGAUGAACUUAUAUUAGAUGGCAAUGACAUUGAACUAGUGUCGCGAUCGGCUGCCUUGAUAAACCAGAAAUGCCAUGUUAAGAACAAAGAUAUCAGGAAAUUCCUUGAUGGUAUCUAUGUCAGUGAGAAAGGGACUGUUGUUGAAGAAGACUGAGGAGACUAGAUUUUGUUUGUUUAUGUUAUCUUUGUUUAUUUUCCCUGGUUAUUAUGAUAUCUUUUUGUUUUAUGUUAUUAUUUCAAAAAUUUUUCUAUCAUAGAACGUUGGAUAUCUAUGAUUUUGGGUUAGUUUAGUUGGAACUGAUACAACUUACUUUCUAAUCGUUUUGUUGUUGGUGUCGAGUGAGAAUUUUUACAGAAAACUUUUAUGCAACUUGACCUUUUUUUGUAUUUUUGUUUCGUUUGCUUGUUUCAUUUUCCUCCACUCAUGACUCAUCCAAUCGAUGAGCAUUUGUUAGAUUCGGGUGCACUUGUGUCUGCUGAAGUGAAUUGACUGAUCUUUCUGAUUUUGAAAAAAAUUUUACCACCUCACUUUCCGUUCCCUAAUAUAUGAACGCAAACCCUGCUAAAAAAAUUCCCCUGUAAUUUAUUCUCAGUGCUGCCCCAGAUUUUAUGCAUCUUGCCCGGUUGGUUUUUUUCAUUUGCA
rnacentral:misc_RNA from 1 species